rnacentral:sRNA from 1 species
CUGCGCUACUCAGGCAACAUUAAAAAGCACAAUUAACGGCAGUCGCCACCCGUAAAAAGUUUUGUGUCCAUGCAGUAAAUGCACUAACAACAACAACAACAACAACAACAACAACAACGGCAAUCGUCCAAAAAGUUUGGUGUCAAAAGUUUUGAUGACUAUGCGCAUAAAAUAUGCUGGCAACAUUUACAUCUUUGGCAGUUAAGUGCUAAGGAGCCGUAAAAGUCGUCCUUUGGGAAUCGAACCCAUUUAUUUGGCAUGCAGAUAGCGACAAUAUUUGAUUGGUUUCCACAUUUGCUGUCCACAAGGAGAGAAAACUUUGUUCGUCAACUGGCACUGGCACUGGCACUGGCACUGGCACUGGAACUGACACUCAAACUGACACUGAAACUUAAACCGAAACUCAAAUUGAAACUGAGAGCUGAUUAAGAGCACUCCACAAAGUUAAUGAAAUUUUGCAUUUAGAAUUCGUUCAUGGAAUACCAAUUAAAAGCAUAGACACUUUGCAAUUGUAUUUUAUUAAUAUGUCUUAUUUUCAUUUUAAAUGCUUUCGUAAAAAAGAAUGUUCACAAUAGUUUUUAGUUUUAUUAUUAUUGUUUUAAGUUUAGUUUAAUUUAGAAACAUGCAUUUGAAAUCAGGUUGAUAAACCGAAACUAAU